UGACUCAGAGUAUAACACAUUUGAUGCAUCCUUACCAGCGAUGUUAAUUUCCAGCGCUGGUCAGGCUAGCGCUAUAAUUUUCUAGCGUUGGCUUUGCAGUUUCAGUAGAUUCAAUCUCUUCAAACGUCUAUCUUUAUUCGGCCAUUUGCACUAUAAAUACAACCCUCUUAACUCUAGAAAUCGGUACCAAAUAUUCAACAAUUAGCGCCACACCCCUUAAGCUUGAGUAUUAACUGAAGCUUUAAUAUGUCCCUCCGUGUUAACUCUUGUUAUCAAGCCUCUGUCCGUCUAAACACUCAAACCAUCCCAUUCACUGCCGAAGUUAUAGCUAAUUCUUUACCCUAAACUAAGGAAUCUAAGGGGAUACUUUGGAGGAAUCGCACCAGAAAUGAGGAACAAUCAGUCAGUUGCUGGGAAGUUCUAAACAGAAAAGGAAAUCUAGCAAGUACAAGUGAAGAAAAUUGGGGUACAUUUAUAUAGGAAAGCGGUUGAAAAUGCAAAGGUAGCUUGCGCCUGGCGCAGGUGCCUUGCUGGCGCCCGAGGCAGCGCAAGCUGCCAAACAAAGGACGAUGACACCGUCCUUUUGUGGGCGCGUUGGCAGCUGUACUUUUGUACCUUUUUGGAAGAUGGCAAAAGAUGUUUUUCUUGGAGGUUAAGAAAACUGUAGCAGCAAAGUACGUACAAUCAGUGCGAAGGACCGCGUGGAGAUUCCUGGAUGUGCGUGCAGCAUAGACUGCGCUUGGCACAGGCCAUGCGUCUGGUGCAAUUGUAGCUUAUAUACUCCUUUGGGAGUUUGGCCGAGUUCCUCCUUUACUUCACCAUAUUUCAAGUGCUCUCAAAUUUUUGGUUUUCUUCGGUUCUUGCUUUGUUCUUGCUCUUUGCCUCUAUAUGAAUCCAUGCAAGUAAUUCAAGCUUUUUGCUUUUGAGAUUACCUUAGGAGUACGUGUAGGAUUGUUUCUUGUACUUUUGAAUAUUUUUUGUAUGCAUGAGGUCUAGAAAUGUUGCUCCCUUGGGUAGGUAUAAUGAAGGGCUCUUGAUUUUGUGUGUAGAUUCGAAAAAUGUUGGAUUUUUGACCACUUUUGAGGGGAGGCCAUUCAUACCUACGGGAUUGGUAUGUUGGAAAAUGUUGAUGGUAUACUUGUAUCUUGAAAUGUUGAAAUAUUGAUAGUAGUAGGUGCUAUACCUUUUGACUUUGUAUUGGAAAUUGUAUGGAAAUUGUAAGUAAUUGAACUGUUGGAACUUAGAACUGGAAUCUUGUAUCUUGUAUUUCACAUUUGCACUUGGGAUUGUAGAUGCCCUGCGUGGCAUAACCGUUAGAGAGUAUGGAACUUCAAUUUUGUAUAGAGGCCUUGAAUGGUUUUUUUUUUUUAAUAUAGACCUCAAAGGGUCUUGCUAGGGGAAUGACAGGCUUUGGAUACCCCAAAUAUUGAUGUAGAUUUGAGCAAUUUCUUAGGCACAGAUAGCCUUGGUGUUGGUGUAGGCUCUAACUAAUCUUCUGGAAUGAGAGUACCUGGCUAAUUUGUACCGCCACUAGGGAUAAUAGGUUUGAAAUAGAGUGAUCCAGUAUAAGAUAACCCCCAUGAUUGACUUUAAAUGUUGCAUUUUGAAUUUCAGCAUGCCUCUUCGUCGCACUUGAAGGAAGAUGCUCGAAAGUUCGACUAGUCAGGCUGCCGAGGAGGAUGCCUCUAAUACUGAGGUAGGGGAGCUGGAGGAGAUACCUAUCGAAGAUCUUCUCCUCUAAAUAAGAUCCCUUUCAAUAAUCGUGGCUGGAGACCGGAGGACCUGGUGCUCAACCGAACGCACCAUUUGUCUCACCGACCGCCCAUGGGUGUGAUUGAGGAAGUAGACAUCCGAGUAUUUUGGUCUCGGGAAGAGCUCAUGAGGGCCUUCAAGCAUAUCUAGGAACGUGAUGAUACGAGAGCUCUGUUGGAGCAGUCUGGCUUUUCCCUGUUCUAUGAGGCGAUUCAGGGCUUUGAGGGAAAUACCAACAUCAAGGCGUUGUUGCAGGUUAUUUUGGACUGGUGGUUGGAAAACACUUGUACAUUUCACAUGCGCUUGGGGGAGAUCACGAUCACUCCCUUUGAUUUUGCUAUGAUUACCGGGCUCCCUUUCUAUGAGAGGGAAAACCGAUUUGGUAGUGGUUUGAGAUGGGUUAGCGCCGAUGUUCAGGCUUUAAUUGGGCCCGUUGCGACAACCGAGGCUUCUUGCCCGUUGAUAAAGAUAUUUCCUGGUGUUGAGCUACCAGGUGCUACGACAUAGCAGAGGGUUCGAUUGUUCUUGCUCAUACAUGUCUGUCAAAUGAUUAUUCCAGGCCAGGGUAGCUGUGUGUUGGCACGCCACUUAGAGCCUUUGAGGGAUCUGGGAUCUGUCUAGGGGCUAAGAUGGGGUAGCUUGGCAUACAUCCACCUUUUGUACAAGCUGAAGAAUGCCUCGAUGACUACUUUGAUGGAUCGGCAGGCAUCGCCGCCUUGAGGAUGGUGCUGGAGAUCUGGGCGUAUGAGCAUUUUUCUGGCUUGGCGCCUGCUCGCCCUCAUGGUGCGACUUACACGUUUGCUGCUUUGUGGGCUGGAGCGGAGCGCACUAGCACUUCCAUGCAUUUAUUCCGCAAGUCUUUGCGGAGUACCCAUGUUAGGGAUGUAUGAUUGUGUUUUGAGAAGUGUUGAACUUCGUAUGUAGGUAGACUAAGCUUGCUUUCUGUUGUAGGUUGUAUUUCGCCCUUUUUAUGGGGUGCCCACGCUAGAUUCGGCAGUUCGGCACCGCUUCUUGACUAAGCGGAGGGUGGUUAUCUCGGUGGUCUAUCUCCCUAUAUGGUAUUUGGGUUAGGGAGUUGUUCACCAGCAUAUCUCUGCCGACCCGCUAGUUCCUCUUGAUCUUCCUGAGUCAAUGAUGCUGGAUGCCUCGAGUGCGGAGAAGGCUUAUGUGAAAGCUCUACACCGGGAUGACGCUGGCUCGCUCUGUCUUUCUUGGGAGGAUUUUGUAGAUAGGAAAGCUCGUUAUAAGGAUUUUCUCCUUAGGAAUGCUCUGUUAGUUCGCUUUGUGGCACCGAUUAAGGAGGCUGACCCUGACGAUAUCCCUUACGCUGACAGAGUUCUCCGCUGUAUAGAUGAUGAGGGGAGGCAGGAAGAGGUUCCGGUUCUUGCGGUACCUCGUUCAGAGUGGAUGGCUGCCAAUGUCAUUCUUGAUCAUUUUGUAGCUCCUCCUCGCAAAAGGGUGCACCGCUUGAUGUAUAGUGGCGAUCUACUUGGUGAAGAGGCACUGUGUCUAGAUGAUGAUGAAUUAAAAAGUGAUACCGCAAGGGCACGGCGUCUGUUGUUAGUAGAUACCUAGCAAAUACGGGUCGAUCCCAUAGGGAGACCAGUUCUAUUAGUUUUUGCCCAAUUAUUAUAAAAUAUUUUAAUAAACAAAGUGUAAAUUUUUGUUUAUAAACUAAUGAAACCAAAACAAUAAUAUAAAUGUAUA